rnacentral:tRNA from 1 species
ACAGAGAAGUAAAAAUUUACAUUUAGUUUCGACCUAAAAUUAAAGAAUAACAUUCUUCAUGUU